rnacentral:rRNA from 1 species
UACAGAGGGUGCGAGCGUUGUUCGGAAUUACUGGGCGUAAAGCGCGCGCAGGCGGCUCUUUAAGUCUGACGGUGAAAUGCCGGGGCUCAACCCCGUGCCCGCCGGAGAUACUGGGGAGCUGGAGACGAGUAGAGGCAAGCGGAAUUCCGGGUGUAGCGGUGAAAUGCGCAGAUAUCGGGAGGAACACCGGUGGCGAAGGCGGUUCUCUGGGCCUGUACUGACGCUGAGGAGCGAAAGCGUGGGGAGCGAACAGG